UCCAAAUAAAGUCGUUCAACUCCCAUACAUUAGUAUGAAAUUUCUGGGUUCAUGAAGUACUAGAUCAAAAAACUAUAAUACCUUUGUAUAAAGUUACCUUGUACUCCGCUGACGUUGCUAUGAGUAACAAACUACUGUUUAUAAAAAUAUAAACAAGAAAAUUUGCGACUGAUGGAAAAAUUAAACUUUUGAAUUUGCUAGGUGGACGAAGGGUUCCAAAUACGUGCACUUUGAACGACAUAUCAGGACUUCAGCAUGUGAUUUCUCCCCAUUUGUUCCCGCUGCGUCUGCUGAGUGAUCUUAGAGUUAAAUCAUCAAGUUUUAAAAUGUCCUCUAUGUUUUCUCCUGUUAACCCAUCUGGAAGUUUACCCAGAAUUGCACAAGGAUAACCCUCAGUACGACCCGAAAUUCCCCGGAUAGGAGAAAAAAUCCCGACAGAAUUUUUGUGCUAUGCAACUUUUUGAAAUGCGCGCAGUUUAGGCACAAAAACCAUGUUGAUAGUGCCGUGUUCUACUAAAUUAAAAAUGAAUUAAAUGUUAAUUGAUAUAAACAUUAAAGUAGAAAAUAGG